AUCUCUCCGCGCCGUCGCCGGAAGUUGGGUCUGUGUGGCGGAGGCGCGGGCGGCGGAGCGGAGCGGCGGGGCGAUGGCCGGCUGUGGGCGAUGACCCGGCUUCUGGGCGUGGCGCGCAGCGUCGCUUUGGCCGCCGUGCGCUGCAGCCCCUGCGGCCGCAGCGGCCUCAGCAUGUUUUACGCCGUGAGGAGGGGCCGCAAGGCCGGGGUCUUCCAGACCUGGAGCGAAUGCAGAGCGCAGGUGGACCGCUUCCCGGCCGCGCGCUUUAAGAAGUUUGCCACGGAGGAGGAGGCCUGGGCCUUCGUCGGGAAGCCCGCCGGCCCGGGCGGCGCGGAAGGGACAGAAAAUAAGCAUGAACAAGAAUCACAAGUGAAAGCCAACAAGCGACUCCGUGAGCCCUCGGAUGGAGAUGAAAACGCAGAGCCUUGUGCAAAGCAGGCAAGACAGACCACGGGAUCCGUGCCUUCGGUUGACAAAAGCACAUUUUCUUACAUGGGAGAAUUUGUUGUCGUCUACACUGAUGGCUGCUGCUCCAGUAACGGGCGGAGGAGGGCACGAGCAGGCAUCGGUGUUUACUGGGGGCCCGGCCAUCCUUUGAACAUAGGCAUUAGGCUUCCCGGGCGGCAGACCAACCAAAGAGCAGAAAUUCAUGCAGCCUGCAAAGCCAUCGAGCAGGCAAAGGCUCAAAACAUCAAGAAGCUGGUUCUGUAUACGGACAGUAUGUUUACUAUAAAUGGCAUCACUAACUGGGUUCAAGGCUGGAAGAAGAACGGGUGGCGGACGAGCACGGGCAAGGAGGUCAUCAACAAGGAGGACUUCGUGGCGCUGGAGCAGCUCGCCCAGGGCAUGGACAUCCAGUGGAUGCAUGUUCCUGGUCAUUCGGGAUUUGUAGGCAAUGAAGAGGCGGACAGAUUAGCACGAGAAGGAGCAAAGCGAUCUGAGGACUGAGCGAGGUCGUCGUCAUUCUUGGACAGCUUGACUUUAUGGACGUGCGCUCGACGGACAGCAGAUGGCACGUGUGUAAAGCGGACCUGGGAUUCCGCGGUGAAGCCCCCGCAGGAGCUGCCUGUCCGCUCCCAGGUUCUCUCACACCGCCUUGAAAUCCUUCCGUCCCGGACCCCAUCCUUGGGCGACCACCAGUCUGCCUCCUGUCUCUGUAGAUAAUUUGUAUUUUCUCAGCUUUGUCGGCAGCUGGAGGGAGCCGAGUGACUGCAGUGUACGACGUAGUCCUCCGUCGUGGAAUGCAGAAGCUUCUGAGCCGCUCCGCUCUCAGAGUGCGAGCUUGACGCUUGCCAGAUGGAGGCUGUUCACAUGUUAUUUGUAGCAUCUGCACCAGCGCGAUGAGGUGACUCCACUGCUGGGCUUUGAGAAAAUCCAGAGGGUCUGUGCUGUCCCUCGGGACGGGCACGUGACCGCUGAGCUAAGUAGAACCAAACCAAAACCCCAGUGCUGGCGGUUGGGCAGCUUGCGGGGUCGUAAACAGGCUCCUCUCGUUUGCAGCGAUGGCGUCCCCAGCCAGGCAAGCCGGGGCCUUCAGAGGAAGACCUCGGCCUCCGUGCUACAUGUCUCCCUCAUGCUCCUGUUCCGGUAGUUCUGGAACAAGGAGGCGAGGCUGCUCCAUAACGCCCCCGCUUCAUGUCCUGUGCUGAUGGGACUUGCAGAAACUGGUGCGAGCAGGACGUCGGAGCGGAGCAUCUGGCUCUCCAUCCGGCCGCGGCUCCAGCGCCCAGAUGCGGCCUCCAGCAGGGGAGCAGGCGGGCAGGGGCUCCUGUCCGUGUUGUGUCCCCAGUGCCUGGAAGGCCUUCAGAUACUUCAGAGAACCUGCGCCAGUUUGUGAAGACAGCUGCGGUUUGUGUGCCAAGGGGAUGGAGGCGGAGCGAGGGGCACAGGACCGCUCGUCUGAACAUGGCGGGAUCUUCAGCUUUCAUCAAAAUAGGCCUCAAAAUUAGGGUUCCUCCCUGGUGCUUCCUGAGAGCCACAGUGGAAGGAAGGAUCUUGGACAAAUACAAACAGGUAGGUAUGCACAGGAGGAGGGGGCAGAGGUGGAGGAGGGGGAGAACCUUAAGCCGGCCCCACACUGAACGCAGAGCCCAACGGGGAGCUCAGUCUCCCGACCCUGAGAUAUGACCUGAGCCAAAAUCAAGAGUUGGAUGCUUUACCGACUGAGCCACAGGCACCCCUUGAACUAAAAAAACUGUAAAGACCUAAGCAUGGACAAAUUCUGAAAAAAAAAUUGGAACUGCUGUGACAGGAGGCUCAUUUCUCUGAUACCUAAAGUAGAAAGUGAGAAAAUGCCUAAUAAUAGAAUGGCCGGUCAUAAAGCACUCGCACCCUCAAGCAAGGAAAGACUGCAGCUUCGCUCCGAGAGCGUGCAGACUGACACCGCACCGAGACCUCCCUGUAGCCUAUCAGUACCUUGUAAUACAGGACUUAUUCGCAAAGCCAGCAGUCCGGGAGGCUGCUGGAAACCACGCACUUCCGUGCCCGCGUGGGCAGCACAGAAUGCAGUUCGCUGCCUGCUGAGAUGAGCGCGGGUAGCUCUGACCCAGCCUUCGCUGCUGUUCGGAACUUGCCGUGCAGGUCUGCCUGCGGGCAUCCAGGCGAAGACGGGAUUCGCAGUCCCUGAGCAGGAAAGCAUACGGGGGCUGCCGCCGUGGCCUCGGGCGGUGCGCGGAGGGCUUGGCGUGUUCGGUGCAUCGGUGCCAGAGCGAGAGGGCACCCUGCGGGGGGCCACGGUGGGCGGGAGCAGGUGCAGGGAGGAGGC